CGGCUGCUCCCCGCCACACCUCGGAGCUGGGGGUCGGCAGUGCGGUCGGGGGCGAACGCGAUCGCGGAGGGGAACAGGGCUCUCCGCACGGUGUAUGCGUCCUGCCGCGGUCUGCUUUUCUCGGGCUCGAGUUAAGUCGCUCUAAAACACCAUGUUGAGCCAAGAAGAAGCUGUGGGUAUCAGCUGUGAGUAUCAGAACAAAGUGUGCUUGCUCUCGAAAACUAUGCUGCACCCCACUUCACAGGGGUCUAGUUGGUCUGGAGUGUGGGAAAUUCUGGAGAACACUGAAUUAUGUCCUUUGAGUACCCACGAUUGAAUUGGUGGCUUCAUUAAUGUACCUUCAGGAUGAAGCUAAUACUGGGAAGAUAAUGAAGGAAAUGGAAAGAAGCACUUUGGUGACACUAUUGGGGCCUCUGGAUCAACACUUGCUUGAUGUCUGAGCUUCAUUUUCAUGAGCCAAUGUAUUACUUUCAUUCUGUAAGACCAGUCAGGGUUUGGUUCCUUGUGGUAAAAAGUAACCAAAUGAAAACAUUUCCUAUUUGAGAUAAGUUGAACAUCUGACUUCAGUUUUAUCACCUCUAAUGAAAACCAAAGUUCUAUGCCACACUUUCUCUGCUGUAAGAAAACCAAGCCUAUAGAAGUCUAGAUUUACAAGAGUAAAUCUUGCAUGUAAAAAUUUCUUUGCAUUUUAAAAGGAGUUCAACAAUUAUAGGAGGUUCACUAUGAGCCAGUUUCACUAUUCAGUCAGUUUUGCAGUAAAUUAAAAUGUGAUUCACUUGAUAUAUUUUUUAGGAACAUAUCAGUUGAGUUAAGUGGAAGCAUUACUGUUCUGGACAUCUGGGGUACUUAAUGUCAUCUCUGUAUGAAACAUCUGAGGAUCUACUAGUAAGCAACCUUUUGUGUCAAAUAUUUAAUAUUCCUUCAGGAGUUAGUUUGAAGCUUGCAAAGACUCUGAGAUUGUAGUUAGAAAUACCUUGUCAAGCAAAUGAGAGAAAAUGAUCAGGCAGCACACUAUACACUGUUUCUGAGGAACAUAGUCUGUGGUGAUUUCAUGGGGAUCUGUAGCAGGUGCAUGAUAACCUUGUGGUUCAUCAUGUACUAUGAAGGAACAGUGACCUUCUCCCUUGAACUUUAGGAUUUCUAGGUAGGAUAGCCAUAUGUCCUUAUUUUCCCAGGAUAGUUCCAGUUUAUGUUGUUGUAAUAACACUCUCGGCCAGUUCCUGCUUAUAAGCUGCAUCAUUGUGGCACACAGCACAUAAUGGCACACAGAUCAAAUUAAAAUUGAGGAACAAAAUAGUAGAGAAAGGAUGGAUUGGACUAGCAUCUGGAAAAUCAGGAGAGAGACUUUAGUGAUAAUUAUGGAGAGAGAACUUUUUGCUACCAAGUAUCUCAUAAACAAAAAUGGGAUUUAUUGUUUGGUAGUGUUAAAGGGGAUAUGAUGAAUGCUUUUGUAAAAGUUUAAGAUUAAAACAAAGACUAAAAUAAGUCAAAUAGACUCAGAGACAAUAAGCCAAUGACCAUUGCCAUUACAGAUCAAUAAGACAGGUUUCAGCUUCUUGGAAGCAGAGUAAUCAAUCCAGUUUCUGCAUUAUACCUCUCUUUUCCUUCUGAGUCCAAACUCAGUUCUCAGUAGCCUCUGUAGCAGCCACUACCAAUUGUGGAAAGCUGGCACAUGAAACAAUACACAUGUUGCUCCUUGCCACUUCUUUUUAUCUGCUCCCAAGAUGCCACCGUGGGGAGGAGCACAGCUGUGGGUUUUGCAAUGUUUUACCCUCAGUUGGAGAGUUUUGGGAAGAGAGGAAGACAAAAGGCUUCAUUCAUUAUUUUCAAUAAAUGUUCAAGUGUUAAUAUAAGAAAAAAAGAGAGGUUCAAUUCUUAAGUGUCAACGGAAAAGUAACAUCUGAUUUUAUGGUGGGGAGAGCAUGAGAAACAAAAUGUUACUUUUCCUAGAGAACAGCCUCAACCAAGUCACCUUAAGAAAGAAAAAUUGUAGUGCCCAGCUUCUUCCACAGAGGGGCACUCCAAGUCCAGCACUGAACACUCCACGGUAUUGUUUUCAGUGACUGGUUGUGGACAGAACAAGAGCUUCCAGUCUUUUCCCGGUUCCUACUAGGGAUUUUGAAAUGGAUAGAAUUAAAAGUACAUUUGUAGAACUCUAGAGGAAUGAGGCAAAGCCAUUUUGGUGUCAAUCCCUAAUUAUUUCACAUUUACAAAUAUAACAGAAAUGUGUUAAAUUUGAAAAGAAAUUUCAUCUAGAUCUGUUUGGGUCUGCAUCAUACGAAAGAUUGAAUAAUUUGGAGAUUAUGAUAAAGUUCUCAUUUAAAGCUAAAAUACGGUUUAUCAGAAAAUUAUUGUAARCUCGUCUCAAACACUCGUGAUUUCAUUUGAAUAUGAAAUUCAAAUUACAUUUUGGAUAAACAACUUUAAA